UUGGGUUUUUUGGGUCGGGUAUAGAGGUGGGUCUUAUUGGAAUGGGUUCUGAGAGCUAACGGGUUGAAGCGAGUUGGGUUUUACUAACUGCGGGUUGGGUGCGGGUUGUGAGUGGGUCUUACCCAGCCUGGGUGACCGCGAGUCUCGUGACUCCUCGCGAGUCGCGAGUCCUUCGUUGUCGCCGCCGCAGGGAAGCUCCGCUCCGCUCUGCCACCUCCACCCUCCUCCUCCAGUCCUCGAGGGAUUCAGAUCCAGAUCCAGAUCUGCGGGGAGACUGCGAGGAGCAGCGGCGAGGUGCCUAGCGGAGAGGUGAGCCGUCGGAUCGUCCAUCCCCUCCUCCUCCCUCGCGCCAGGGUCGGAUCUUCAAGAACGGGCGGCGGCGGCGGCGUUUCUCUUGAGGCGAAUUUGGCCUGCUGCGCGUUGGAGGGGUGCAUCCAGUGGUUCCUUGACCUGGUGGACAUGCUGUUCGUCGACGGCGGGCAGGAUCUCUACGUCAGGCUUGCAAAGUCUGAACUAGGACACUAGGUUAUAUGCUGUCAGGUUUAGGACUGCACCUAUCCUAUGGAGAUGCGACACACUGAAAAUGCAAUUGCAGUCUCUCAUGUAAUCGUCCAUGACUCUGUUUCAGUCUGUUUCUUUUGUUGGUCACAUCUCUGAAACAGGUAGGAGGUCGGAGGACAUAAGUAUAUCAUGUUCAGUGGAAGAAUAUCAUGUUUGAUAACAUAAGUAUGAAGAAAAUGGCUCAAUCAAUGGGGACCUCUUGAUGCUCGAUACAAAUUGUCCAGUAAAGCUAGUGUUUAUCAGACCAAAUGACAGCUAGUGUUCUUGAAAACGUCAACAUCCAAGAGGACACAAACUUCUGCAAUAAUUGGCAUGUAACAACUAUAAACUAUGUUUAACUUUGGUAGAGGCUAAAUAUUCCUGACGAUGCAUUAAUGUAACUUGUUUGUGUUAUGUGUGUAACUUAUGUUUGACAGAGGCUAAGUGAGAUGACAUAUUUGACAUGUAAGAACUGUAAACGUGGCUUUUUGCUUG